AAUCUGUCAGAAGUUCGAUGAAGUCCGGUGAAGUCCGGUAAAGUCCGGUGAAGUCCGAUGUUUUGAAGUCCGAAGUCCAGGUACACCUAUUUUUUGAGUGGUUACUCCUUCGACUCAAUAAGUAUUUUUCU